UUCUGGUUGAUCCUGCCGGACCUGACUGCUAUCGGAUUGAUACUAAGCCAUGCGAGUCUUUGUAGUAAUACAAGGCAGACGGCUCAGUAACACGUAGUCAACCUACCCUAUGGACGAGAAUAAUCUCGGGAAACUGAGCAUAAUUCUUGAUAGAUCAUAAUGCCUGGAAUGGUUUAUGGUUAAAAUGAUUCGUCGCCAUAGGAUGGGACUGCGGCCUAUCAGCUUGUUGGUGAGGUAAUGGCCCACCAAGGCGAUUACAGGUACGGGCUCUGAGAGGAGAAGCCCGGAGAUGGGUACUGAGACACGGACCCAGGCCCUAUGGGGCGCAGCAGGCGAGAAAACUUUGCAAUGUGCGAAAGCACGACAAGGUUAAUCCGAGUGAUUUCUGCUAAAGAAAUCUUUUGCCAGUCGUAAAACCGCUGGUGAAUAAGGGGUGGGCAAGUUCUGGUGCCAGCAGCCGCGGUAAUA
rnacentral:rRNA from 1 species